rnacentral:rRNA from 1 species
CGGGGUGCAGCAGGCGCGAAAACUUUACACUGCGGGAAACCGCGAUAAGGGGACCCCGAGUGCCAGCACCUAGUGCUGGCUGUCCAGCUGUCCAAAUAACAGUUGUUAGCAAGGGCCGGGCAAGACCGGUGCCAGCCGCCGCGGUAACACCGGCGGCCCAAGUGGUAGCCGUUAUUAUUGGGUUUAAAGGGUCCGUAGCCGGCCUAUUAAGUCUCUUGGGAAAUCUGGCGACUUAAUCGUCAGGCGUCCAAGAGAUACUGGUAGGCUUGGGACCGGGAGAGGUGGGAGGUACUCCAGGGGUAGGGGUGAAAUCUCGUAAUCCUUGGGGGACCACCGAUGGCGAAGGCAUCCCACCAGAACGGGUCCGACGGUGAGGGACGAAAGCUGGGGGCACGAACCGGAUUAGAUACCCGGGUAGUCCCAGCUGUAAACGAUGCUCGCUAGGUGUCAGGUGCGGUGCGACCGCAUCUGGUGCCGCAGUGAAAACUUGAAGCGAGUCACCUGGGAAGUACGGUCGCAAGGCUGAAACUUAAAGGAAUUGGCGGGGGAGCAC